UACGAAGGGUGCAAGCGUUACUCGGAAUUACUGGGCGUAAAGCGUGCGUAGGUGGUGAGUUAAGUCUGAUGUGAAAUCCCCGGGCUCAACCUGGGAAUGGCAUUGGAUACUGGCUCGCUAGAGUGCGGUAGAGGGUGGUGGAAUUCCCGGUGUAGCAGUGAAAUGCGUAGAGAUCGGGAGGAACAUCUGUGGCGAAGGCGGCCACCUGGACCAACACUGACGCUGAGGCGCGAAAGCUAGGGGAGCAAACAGG
rnacentral:rRNA from 1 species